UGUGUAGGGCAUAUUCAAGCGCAUUCAGAACUCAUGUGGCCUCUUGCAGAAGGCAAUAUUAUUGGACAUGAAGCAACCUGAAUGAUAGGUCUUUCACAAGUUGACUCACAUGCUUUGCAUCAUCAAAAUAAUCAAAACUUAAGAAAACCAUGCUACAUAUCUAAAGAAGCUGCAUGAUAAAUUGUUUAUCAGUGUGUCUCCUGCCCUGAAUAUUAUUCAGUAUGCCAUUAUGGAGUUAAUUGUAGAGGUCUAAUUACCAAUCAUUUGUGGUAAAUGGAUGUUACACAAGUACCUGAAUUUGGUAGAUUGAGGUAUGUACAUGUUUCCAUAGACACUAUUUCAGGUUUCAUAAUGGCCACUGGCCAAACAGGAGAAUUCACUAAGCAUGUUAGUUAUCAUUGCUUAAAGUGCUUUGUCAUGAUGGGACAUGCUAACAUGAUUAGGAGGGCUAAUGGGUCUGGGCAUUAAAGUCAUCCCUUCUAGUG
rnacentral:lncRNA from 1 species